UACGUAGGGUGCGAGCGUUGUCCGGAAUUAUUGGGCGUAAAGGGCUCGUAGGCGGUUUGUCGCGUCGGGAGUGAAAACACCGGGCUUAACUCGGUGCUUGCUUUCGAUACGGGCAGACUAGAGGCAUGCAGGGGAGAACGGAAUUCCUGGUGUAGCGGUGAAAUGCGCAGAUAUCAGGAGGAACACCGGUGGCGAAGGCGGUUCUCUGGGCAUGUCCUGACGCUGAGGAGCGAAAGUGUGGGGAGCGAAC
rnacentral:rRNA from 1 species